rnacentral:rRNA from 1 species
CCCUACGGGAGGCAGCAGUCGGGAAUAUUGCGCAAUGGAGGAAACUCUGACGCAGUGACGCCGCGUAUGGGAAGAAGGUUUUCGGAUUGUAAACCAUUGUCGUUAGGGAAGAAGAAGUGACAGUACCUAAGGAGGAAGCUCCGGCUAACUAUGUGCCAGCAGCCGCGGUAAUACAUAGGGAGCGAGCGUUAUCCGGAUUUAUUGGGUGUAAAGGGAGCGUAGACGGCCAGACAAGUCAGAAGUGAAAGCCCAGGGCUCAACCCUGGGACUGCUUUUGAAACUGCCGGGCUGGAGUGCAGGAGAGG